rnacentral:lncRNA from 1 species
CUUGUUUUGAGUUUUGACUUUUAUGCCCAAAUUAUGGGAAGAGGGCAAACAAAAUAUGCCCGAAAUCAGUCAGGCUCUGAGGUGAAAAGUGUCUUUGGAUUUUUGCCUUGGGGUAGCCAUUAUUUUAAAGAGCGGUACCGUUUCUUGGGGUGCUUCGGUCGUCUUCAUCCUCUGGUUUUGCCUUUUGCUAUGGGUUUGUUCUGUUUGUUUUCAGAGAAAAAAAACCAUAAAAUCAGAAGCAUUCACGGGCUUGGAAAGAAGGGUUCUGUCGUACUAUUGAGAUGGUAUUCCCUGCGUUUUGUAUUGUUGUUUGAAGGCGCAUGGUUUUUUGUGGUCCAAUAAUCCAACGUCAACGCAAAAUUGUUUGUUAAUUAAUUACAGCAUAGUAACUUUUGUAAAGAUACCUUUGGGAACAUGUUGGGAUAAAUCUAACCUUGAAUUUCGCAGAUAUUUUGGUCUUCUGUGAGCAAUUUGCUUCCGGACAAGGCAAAAAUGAAGUCUCCCUUUCAAAUGUCGUUUAAACCCCAAGAGGAAAUUGUUUUUAGGGAUUAUGACGAGAA